UACGUAGGUGGCAAGCGUUGUCCGGAAUUAUUGGGCGUAAAGCGCGCGCAGGCGGUCCUUUAAGUCUGAUGUGAGAGCCCACGGCUCAACCGUGGAGGGUCAUUGGAAACUGGGGGACUUGAGUACAGAAGAGGAAAGCGGAAUUCCACGUGUAGCGGUGAAAUGCGUAGAGAUGUGGAGGAACACCAGUGGCGAAGGCGGCUUUCUGGUCUGUAACUGACGCUGAGGCGCGAAAGCGUGGGGAGCAAACAGG
rnacentral:rRNA from 1 species